rnacentral:rRNA from 1 species
AAUAUUGCACAAUGGGCGCAACCCUGAUGCAGCCAUGCCGCGAGAAUGAUGAAGGCCUUAGGGUUGUAAAAUUCUUUCGCUAGGGAUGAUAAUGACAGUACCUAGUAAAGAAGCCCCGGCUAACUUCGUGCCAGCAGCCGCGGUAAUACGAAGGGGGCUAGCGUUGUUCGGAAUUACUGGGCGUAAAGCGCACGUAGGCGGACUGUAAGUCAGAUGUUAAAUCCUGAGGCUCAACCUCGGAACUGCAUUUGACACUGGGAGUCUAGAGAUCAGGAGGGGUAAGGGGAAUUCCGAGUGUAGAGGUGAAAUUCGUAGAUAUUGGGAGGAACACCAGUGGCGAAGGCGACUUCCUGGCCAGAUACUGACGCUGAGGUGCGAAAGCGAGGGGAGCAAACGGGAUUAGAUUCCCUUGUAGUUCUCGCCCUA